UUCGGAGGCUCCUCCCGCGGGUGGCAGCGUACGGGGCGCGCCCCUCCGCCAGUCCUCGGUCCUCAGGCCUGUGGCUCCGUUGAGCACCGGCCGCCGGGCCUCUGGGUCCGUCGAGUGGGGACUCCCUGAAAAGCGUGGGCUCCGUGGCCUCCGGCGCGAUCGCGGCGGGUCGGUCUCCUAGCCCUUGUAUUUUCACACAUCCCUAAACCACCCUCAUAUCGUGGCUGUGGUGGAAGUGAUCGCUGAGGGCAAGAAACGGGAUGGGAGCCUCCAGACAUUGUCCUGUGGGUUUGGAAUUCUUCGGAUCUUCAGCAACCAGCCGGACUCUCCUACCUCUGCUUCCCAGGACAAAAGGUUGCGGCUGUACCAUGGCACCCCCAGAGCCCUCCUGCACCCGCUUCUCCAGGACCCCGCAGAGCAAAACAGACACAUGACCCUCAUUGAGAACUGCAGCCUGCAGUACACGCUGAAGCCACACCCGGCCCUGGAGCCUGCGUUCCACCUUCUUCCUGAGAACCUUCUGGUGUCUGGUCUGCAGCAGAUACCUGGCCUGCUUCCAGCUCAUGGAGAAUCUGGCGACGCUCUCCGAAAGCCUCGCCUCCAGAAGCCCAUCACGGGGCACUUGGACGACUUAUUCUUCACCCUGUACCCCUCCCUCGAGAAGUUUGAGGAAGAGCUGCUGGAGCUCCACGUCCAGGACCACUUCCAGGAGGGAUGUGGCCCACUGGACGGUGGUGCCCUGGAGAUCCUGGAGCGGCGCCUGCGUGUUGGCGUGCACAACGGUCUGGGCUUUGUGCAGAGGCCGCAGGUCGUUGUACUGGUGCCUGAGAUGGACGUGGCCUUGACGCGCUCAGCCAGCUUCAGCAGGAAAGUGGUCUCCUCUUCCAAGACCAGCUCCGGGAGCCAAGCUCUGGUUUUGAGAAGCCGCCUCCGCCUCCCAGAGAUGGUCGGCCACCCUGCAUUUGCGGUCGUCUUCCAGCUGGAGUACGUGUUCAGCAGCCCUACAGGAGUGGACGGCAAUGCAGCUUCAGUCACCUCUCUGUCCAACCUGGCAUGCAUGCACAUGGUCCGCUGGGCUGUUUGGAACCCCCUGCUGGAAGCUGAUUCUGGAAGGGUGACCCUGCCUCUGCAGGGCGGGAUCCAGCCCAACCCCUCGCACUGUCUGGUCUACAAGGUACCCUCAGCCAGCCUGAGCUCUGAAGAGGUGAAGCAGGUGGAGUCAGGUACACUCCGGUUCCAGUUCUCGCUGGGCUCAGAAGAACACCUGGAUGCACCCACGGAGCCUGUCAGUGGCCCCAAGGCGGAGCGGCGGCCUGCCAGGAAACCACCCACGUCCCCUUCGACAGGAGUUCCCGUUGGAGGGCGGUAUCUCCCACCUGGAAGCCGACCUGAGCCAGACCUCCCUGGUCCUGGAAACGUCCAUUGCCGAACAGUUACAGGAGCUGCCGUUCACGCCUUUGCAUGCCCCUAUUGUUGUGGGAACCCAGACCAGGAGCUCUGCAGGGCAGCCCUCAAGAGCCUCCAUGGUGCUCCUGCAGUCCUCCGGCUUUCCUGAGAUUCUGGAUGCCAAUAAACAGCCAGCCGAGGCCGUCAACCCUGCAGACCCCGUGACGUUUAACCCUCAGAAGGAGGAAUCAGAUUGUCUACAAAGCAACGAGAUAGUGCUACAGUUUCUUGCCUUUAGCAGAGUGGCCCAGGACUGCCGAGGAACAUCAUGGCCAAAGACUGUGUAUUUCACCUUCCAGUUCUACCGCUUCCCACCCGCAACGACGCCACGACUGCAGCUGGUCCAGCUGGAUGAGGCUGGCCAGCCCAGCUCUGGCGCCCUGACCCACAUCCUCAUGCCUGUGAGCAGAGAUGGCACCUUUGAUGCUGGAUCUCCUGGCUUCCAGCUGAGGUACAUGGUGGGCCCUGGGUUCCUGAAGCCAGGUGAGCGGCGCUGCUUCGCCCGCUACCUGGCCUUGCAGAUCCUGCAGAUCGACGUCUGGGAUGGAGACUCCCUGCUGCUCAUCGGAUCUGCCGCCGUCCACAUGAAGCAUCUCCUCCGCCAAGGCCGGCCGGCUGUGCAGGCCUCCCACGAGCUUGAGGUCGUGGCAACUGAAUACGAGCAGGACAACAUGGUGGUGAGUGGAGACAUGCUGGGGUUUGGCCGCGUCAAGCCCGUCGGCGUCCACUCAGUGGUGAAGGGCCGGCUGCACCUGACCUUGGCCAACGUGGGUCACCCGUGUGAACAGAAAGUGAGAGGUUGUAGCACAUUGCCACCGUCCAGAUCUCGGGUCAUCGCAAACAAUGGAGCCAGCCGCUUCUCUGGAGGCAGCCUCCUCACGACUGGAAGCUCAAGGCGAAAACACGUGGUGCAAGCACAGAAGCUGGCGGACGUGGACAGUGAGCUGGCCGCCGUGCUACUGACCCAUGCCCGGCAGGGCAAGGGGCCCCAGGACAUCGGCUGUGAGUCGGAUGCCACCCGCAGGCGUAAGCUGGAGCGGAUGAGGUCUGUGCGCCUGAAGGAGGCUGGGGGAGAGUUGAGCCAGCGCGGGACGAGCGUGUUGGUGCAGCAGAGCGUUCGCACACAGCACUUGCGGGACCUACAGGUCAUCGCCGCCUACCGAGAGCGCACAAAGGCUGAAAGCAUCGCCAGCCUGCUGAGCCUGGCCAUCACCACAGAGCACACACUCCACGCCACGCUGGGGGUCGCUGAGUUCUUCGAGUUUGUGCUUAAGAACCCCCACAACACACAGCACACAGUGACUGUGGAGAUCGACAACCCCGAGCUGAGCGUCAUCGUGGACAGUCAGGAGUGGAGGGACUUCAAGGGUGCUGCCGGCCUGCACACGCCGGUGGAGGAGGACAUGUUCCACCUGCGCGGCAGCCUGGCCCCCCAGCUCUACCUGCGCCCCCACGAGACCGCCCACAUCCCCUUCAAGUUCCAGAGCUUCUCUGCAGGGCAGCUGGCCAUGGUGCAGGCCUCUCCUGGGUUGAGCAACGAGAAGGGCACGGAUGCCGUGUCACCUUGGAAGUCCAGCGCAGUGCCCACUAAACACGCCAAGGUCUUGUUCCGAGCGAGUGGCGGCAAGCCCAUCGCCGUGCUCUGCCUGACCGUGGAGCUGCAGCCCCACGUGGUGGACCAGGUCUUCCGCUUCUAUCACCCGGAGCUCUCCUUCCUGAAGAAGGCCAUCCGCCUGCCGCCCUGGCACACACUUCCAGGUGCUCGGGUGGGAAUGCUUGGUGAGGACCCCCCAGUCCACGUUCGCUGCAGCGACCCGAAUGUCAUCUGUGAGACCCAGAAUGUGGGCCCCGGGGAGCCACGGGACAUAUUUCUGAAGGUAGCCAGUGGUCCGAGCCCGGAGAUCAAAGACUUCUUUGUCAUCAUUUACUCGGAUCGCUGGCUGGCGACACCCACACAGACGUGGCAGGUCUACCUCCACUCCCUGCAGCGCGUGGAUGUCUCCUGCGUCGCAGGCCAGCUGACCCGCCUGUCCCUUGUCCUUCGGGGGACGCAGACAGUGAGGAAAGUGAGAGCUUUCACCUCGCAUCCCCAGGAGCUGAAGACAGAUCCCAAAGGUGUCUUCGUGCUCCCGCCUCGUGGGGUGCAGGACCUGCAUGUUGGCGUGAGGCCCCUCAGGGCCGGCAGCCGCUUCGUCCACCUCAACCUGGUGGACGUGGAUUGCCACCAGCUGGUGGCCUCCUGGCUCGUGUGCCUCUCCUGCCGCCAGCCGCUCAUCUCCAAGGCCUUUGAGAUCACAUUGGCUGCGGGCGAAGGGAAGGGUGUCAACAAGAGGAUCACCUACACCAACCCCUACCCCUCCCGGAGGACGUUCCACCUUCACAGCGACCACCCGGAGCUGCUGCGGUUCAGGGAGGACUCCUUCCAGGUCGGGGGUGGAGAGACCUACACCAUCGGCUUGCAGUUUGCGCCUAGUCAGAGAGUAGGGGAGGAGGAGAUCCUGAUCUACAUCAAUGACCAUGAGGACAAAAACGAAGAGGCAUUUUGCGUGAAGGUCAUCUACCAGUGAGGACUUGAGGGUGACGUCCUUCCUGCGGCACCCGGCUGGGGCCUGUCUGUGCCCCUCCUGCCCUGCAGGCCGUCCUCCCCGCGUCUCUGCAGCCUUUCACUUCAGUGCCCACCUGGCUGACCUGUGCACUUGGCUGAGGAAGCAGAGACCGAGCGCUGGUCAUUUUGUAGUACCUGCGUCCAGCUUAGCUGCUGCUGACACCCAGCAGGCCUGGGUUCCGUGAGCGUGGACUCCGUGGCGGUGGCUGUGGCUCUGGUGCUGCCAUCUAUGCAUGUGGGACCCUUGUUAUCUCUGUUGCUCAAAAUGUAUUUUAUGAAUCAUCCUAAAUGAUAAAAUUAUGUUUUUCUUACUGGAUUUUGUACAAACAUAAUCUAUUAUUUGCUAUGCAAUAUUUUAUGCUGGUAUUAUGUCUGUUUUUUAAAUGGUUGAACGAAAUACUAAACUUUUACACAUC
rnacentral:sRNA from 1 species